GGGCGUGUGGCUCAGUUGGUAGAGCGUUCGCUUAGCAUACCACGAAACACCCACAAGGUGUCUUAAACCAAGCAUACCACGAAACACCCACAAGGUGUCUUAAACCAGUAUGCGAAAGGUCCUGGGUUCGAUUCCCAGCUCGUCCA